rnacentral:rRNA from 1 species
ACACGGUGGAUGCCCUGGCAGUCAGAGGCGAUGAAGGACGUGCUAAUCUGCGAUAAGCGUCGGUAAGGUGAUAUGAACCGUUAUAACCGGCGAUUUCCGAAUGGGGAAACCCAGUGUGAUUCGUCACACUAUCAUUAACUGAAUCCAUAGGUUAAUGAGGCGAACCGGGGGAACUGAAACAUCUAAGUACCCCGAGGAAAAGAAAUCAACCGAGAUUCCCCCAGUAGCGGCGAGCGAACGGGGAGCAGCCCAGAGCCUGAAUCAGUGUGUGUGUUAGUGGAAGCGUCUGGAAAGGCGCGCGAUACAGGGUGACAGCCCCGUACACAAAAAUGCACAUGCUGUGAGCUCGAUGAGUAGGGCGGGACACGUGGUAUCCUGUCUGAAUAUGGGGGGACCAUCCUCCAAGGCUAAAUACUCCUGACUGACCGAUAGUGAACCAGUACCGUGAGGGAAAGGCGAAAAGAACCCCGGCGAGGGGAGUGAAAAAGAACCUGAAACCGUGUACGUACAAGCAGUGGGAGCACGCUUAGGCGUGUGACUGCGUACCUUUUGUAUAAUGGGUCAGCGACUUAUAUUCUGUAGCAAGGUUAACCGAAUAGGGGAGCCGAAGGGAAACCGAGUCUUAACUGGGCGUUAAGUUGCAGGGUAUAGACCCGAAACCCGGUGAUCUAGCCAUGGGCAGGUUGAAGGUUGGGUAACACUAACUGGAGGACCGAACCGACUAAUGUUGAAAAAUUAGCGGAUGACUUGUGGCUGGGGGUGAAAGGCCAAUCAAACCGGGAGAUAGCUGGUUCUCCCCGAAAGCUAUUUAGGUAGCGCCUCGUGAAUUCAUCUCCGGGGGUAGAGCACUGUUUCGGCAAGGGGGUCAUCCCGACUUACCAACCCGAUGCAAACUGCGAAUACCGGAGAAUGUUAUCACGGGAGACACACGGCGGGUGCUAACGUCCGUCGUGAAGAGGGAAACAACCCAGACCGCCAGCUAAGGUCCCAAAGUCAUGGUUAAGUGGGAAACGAUGUGGGAAGGCCCAGACAGCCAGGAUGUUGGCUUAGAAGCAGCCAUCAUUUAAAGAAAGCGUAAUAGCUCACUGGUCGAGUCGGCCUGCGCGGAAGAUGUAACGGGGCUAAACCAUGCACCGAAGCUGCGGCAGCGACGCUUAUGCGUUGUUGGGUAGGGGAGCGUUCUGUAAGCCUGUGAAGGUGUGCUGUGAGGCAUGCUGGAGGUAUCAGAAGUGCGAAUGCUGACAUAAGUAACGAUAAAGCGGGUGAAAAGCCCGCUCGCCGGAAGACCAAGGGUUCCUGUCCAACGUUAAUCGGGGCAGGGUGAGUCGACCCCUAAGGCGAGGCCGAAAGGCGUAGUCGAUGGGAAACAGGUUAAUAUUCCUGUACUUGGUGUUACUGCGAAGGGGGGACGGAGAAGGCUAUGUUGGCCGGGCGACGGUUGUCCCGGUUUAAGCGUGUAGGCUGGUUUUCCAGGCAAAUCCGGAAAAUCAAGGCUGAGGCGUGAUGACGAGGCACUACGGUGCUGAAGCAACAAAUGCCCUGCUUCCAGGAAAAGCCUCUAAGCAUCAGGUAACAUCAAAUCGUACCCCAAACCGACACAGGUGGUCAGGUAGAGAAUACCAAGGCGCUUGAGAGAACUCGGGUGAAGGAACUAGGCAAAAUGGUGCCGUAACUUCGGGAGAAGGCACGCUGAUAUGUAGGUGAAGUCCCUCGCGGAUGGAGCUGAAAUCAGUCGAAGAUACCAGCUGGCUGCAACUGUUUAUUAAAAACACAGCACUGUGCAAACACGAAAGUGGACGUAUACGGUGUGACGCCUGCCCGGUGCCGGAAGGUUAAUUGAUGGGGUCAGCGCAAGCGAAGCUCUUGAUCGAAGCCCCGGUAAACGGCGGCCGUAACUAUAACGGUCCUAAGGUAGCGAAAUUCCUUGUCGGGUAAGUUCCGACCUGCACGAAUGGCGUAAUGAUGGCCAGGCUGUCUCCACCCGAGACUCAGUGAAAUUGAACUCGCUGUGAAGAUGCAGUGUACCCGCGGCAAGACGGAAAGACCCCGUGAACCUUUACUAUAGCUUGACACUGAACAUUGAGCCUUGAUGUGUAGGAUAGGUGGGAGGCUUAGAAGUGUGGACGCCAGUCUGCAUGGAGCCGACCUUGAAAUACCACCCUUUAAUGUUUGAUGUUCUAACGUUGACCCGUAAUCCGGGUUGCGGACAGUGUCUGGUGGGUAGUUUGACUGGGGCGGUCUCCUCCUAAAGAGUAACGGAGGAGCACGAAGGUUGGCUAAUCCUGGUCGGACAUCAGGAGGUUAGUGCAAUGGCAUAAGCCAGCUUGACUGCGAGCGUGACGGCGCGAGCAGGUGCGAAAGCAGGUCAUAGUGAUCCGGUGGUUCUGAAUGGAAGGGCCAUCGCUCAACGGAUAAAAGGUACUCCGGGGAUAACAGGCUGAUACCGCCCAAGAGUUCAUAUCGACGGCGGUGUUUGGCACCUCGAUGUCGGCUCAUCACAUCCUGGGGCUGAAGUAGGUCCCAAGGGUAUGGCUGUUCGCCAUUUAAAGUGGUACGCGAGCUGGGUUUAGAACGUCGUGAGACAGUUCGGUCCCUAUCUGCCGUGGGCGCUGGAGAACUGAGGGGGGCUGCUCCUAGUACGAGAGGACCGGAGUGGACGCAUCACUGGUGUUCGGGUUGUCAUGCCAAUGGCACUGCCCGGUAGCUAAAUGCGGAAGAGAUAAGUGCUGAAAGCAUCUAAGCACGAAACUUGCC